GGAGCUGGAGCGGCGGGGCGGCGGCGGAGUCCGGCGGCCGAGAUAGCGAGUGAGGGAGCGAACGAGCAGCGACCCGAGAGUCCAGGGAGCGAGGAGGAGCCGGAGGGGAGCGCUCAGGCGCGAGCGAGAGGACGCGCGAACGCUGGGCUAGGGCUCGAGCCCCGGAACGGCUGAGGAGCCCGCCCGCGGCCCUCCCCUCCCCCUCCCCGGGACCGGGCCCAGCGCGCCAUCCUCCCCCUCCCUCCCUCCCUCCCUCCUUCCUCCCUUCCCUCUCCCUCCCCCUCCCCCGAUGGUGGAUGGGAGUGAAGGACGGAAGAGGCCCUGCGGAGGCGGUGGUGCAGCGCUCCGGUAAGGCGGCGACGCUCUACGCCCUCCCCUCUGUCUUUUCCAUCGCGCUCGGGCGGCUGCGGGCCGGGCCGGCGGCCUGACGAUGUGGCUGCGCCGGUCCCCUCCCUCCCAUUCUCCCCUCCCCCUGCCGCCGCUGCCUCCUCCUUCUUCUUCUCCUCUCCUCGCUCUCAAAAUGGCGGCCGCGACGGCCGUUGAGUGAGAGGCACCGAGGAGGGGGCCCUGGCCUGGGAGGGCGCUGCCCUUGCUCCAGUCCUCCGACCCUGGCAGCAGGCUACUUGGGCCGCUGAGGCUUCAAACCGUGGCCUCUCGGCGGCAUCGCCCUCCUGCCGCCGUGACUUAGCAAGAAAAGUAUUCUUGGGUGGGAAGGGCGUGGAUAGCAGGUCGCUCUCUGAUCUUGGGGAAAGGGCUCAGCCCUCCUGGGCCGCGGAAACGAACCCGCAGUCCCCACCCCUCCGCGGCUGGCGGCUCGCCGCCGGGGCUCCAGCAGCUACCAGGCCUUCCAGGCGUCCGGUUCUCCACUUGUCCUUAGGUUGGUGUGAUGGAUUGGUAUUAACCAUUUUCCUAUUCACUUGACAGGUGUGGGAUUAUGAGACUGGAGAUUUUGAGCGAACUCUCAAGGGGCAUACAGAUUCUGUACAGGACAUUUCCUUUGACCACAGUGGCAAACUCUUGGCUUCCUGUUCUGCAGAUAUGACGAUUAAAUUAUGGGAUUUUCAGGGUUUUGAAUGCAUCAGAACCAUGCACGGCCACGACCACAAUGUCUCUUCAGUAGCCAUCAUGCCUAAUGGAGAUCAUAUAGUGUCUGCCUCAAGGGAUAAAACUAUAAAAAUGUGGGAAGUGCAAACUGGCUACUGUGUGAAGACAUUCACAGGACACAGAGAAUGGGUACGUAUGGUGCGGCCAAAUCAGGACGGCACUCUGAUAGCCAGCUGUUCCAAUGACCAGACUGUGCGUGUAUGGGUUGUAGCAACAAAGGAAUGCAAAGCUGAGCUCCGAGAACACGAACAUGUGGUAGAAUGCAUUUCCUGGGCUCCAGAAAGUUCAUAUUCUUCCAUCUCUGAAGCAACAGGAUCUGAGACUAAAAAAAGUGGCAAGCCUGGACCCUUCUUGCUAUCUGGUUCCAGAGACAAAACUAUUAAGAUGUGGGACGUCAGUACUGGCAUGUGCCUUAUGACUCUGGUGGGUCAUGAUAAUUGGGUACGUGGAGUUCUGUUCCAUUCUGGGGGGAAGUUUAUUUUGAGUUGUGCUGAUGACAAGACCCUCCGUGUAUGGGAUUACAAGAACAAGCGAUGCAUGAAGACCCUCAAUGCGCAUGAACACUUUGUUACCUCCUUGGAUUUCCAUAAGACGGCACCCUAUGUGGUUACUGGCAGUGUAGAUCAAACAGUAAAGGUGUGGGAGUGCCGUUGAUUGAGUCACAUUUGGUUCUUCCUCCCUUUUUUCCUCUGGAUGCACUCUGAUGAUACCAUGGUUACCCCAUUUGAGCUCUGUUUAAAUAAAUAUUGUCCUUUCAUGUAAAUUAUUCUGGAUGUAGAUUGAGCUUAUUAAAUGUUACACACAAAGUAUUCAUGCAUGGUGAAUCCAAAUUGUAUACUGUAAAUUUACAUAUGUUGUCUAGAAGUACCAUAGGGGUUAAAAACCUGGGCUGGCAUUGGUCACACCAGGCCUACAAGGGCAGAAGUUGAAUAAAUUGAACUAGGGCACUAAACUGAAUAGUUGACAGUGUCAUUUUAUGUUGGAUUAUUAAUUAUUGUUUUUCUUCCUGCUAUCUGUUGGUGCCUGACUUGAUGGCCUCAUUUUGGGGAAAGUGGUUAUUAGGGCUUUUUCUGAAAUGUGUAUCUAUGUAACAUCACGUAAGUGUGCUUAAUGAAUCUUUAAGGGGGUUAGAUGGUAAGACUACAGUUCAGAGUCUCUUGCUCCAUCUGUGUAAUGGGGAUUACACAUUGAAGUUUUUGUCAUGACCCCUUUGCCAAAUCAAUAGGAUAUGUUUGUUUUGGCACCUAUCAAGCGAAGGCUAGUGGUUUAUUUCUGUAAGAAAAUGAUCGUAAAUCUCAAGAAAAAUCUCAGCAGCUAACUAGUGAAUCCUUUUUCAUUUGGGUCUCACUGCUCUGUAAACAGGUCAGGAGACACUGUCCUACUCUGAGCUUCUCUUCUCCACACUAGACACACAAGUCGUGUUCUCCAUACUGUUGGACUGUAUAGUGAUAUGACUCCCCAGUAGACUUUGAUCUUCCCAUUGAGUGUCAUGGUACAAAUCACUAUGUGUUUAUGAUGUUUUUAGGGAUGUGCAAUGUGCAUGUCAGAAGGACAAAGAGGACAAAGCUGCGUGCACAUUUUAAAGGUGUGGAAGAAACAGUUUCCAACAUGAACCUGGUAACAAUUUGGACUGUUUCACUUACAAGUUAUAAAAAAAGUGACAGGGUUUAUUGAAGCGUGCAUAGAAAUAUACCGGUUUUCUCUUCAUCUUUUGUUUAUAUGUAAAUGUUUAUAAGUAUAUGGGCCUAUCUGUAAGUGGAUAUGUCUAUAUAUGUAUAUCACACACAUACAACCUCCAUGUUGUUGGGUUUUGAGUUUCUGAGGACGUGCUAAAAAAUAAGCCUAGAGUGACUCUUGCUGGGGAAAUAAAUACCAACCACAGCCAUGCUUUAGAAUAAACUCUGUGAUGCUUCUGACUCUAAGGGGCUUUUCUAAGCUGAGAGAAAGUCACUUUAUUCUCCCCUCUAAUGGGCCAUUCACCAUUUUACACAUUCCUGAUAGGCUGUAUAUUUUGGUCCAGAGUUACUACAGUAGGUUUAAGAGAAUUUUUGGAACACUAUUCCAUUGUCAAUUGUUAAUAAAGAAUUUAUCGCCUAGGUAACCAACUUUUUUUUUCUUUUUAAGAAAAUCAAUUUGAAAAGUUAACAGCAACAGUGACAUACAUAACAAUGACAGUCUAACAAUGGUAAUUCUUUUCUGGACUGUAUUUUAUUCGUUUGUAUAAUAGAGGAUUUUUUUAAAAUGUCCCUUUAAGUAUUGAAUGGAAAUUUGAUUCCUGAAAGGACAAAGGGUGAGAAUUAAUGUCCUGUAGAUAAACACAAGAGAUUAGGCUGUAGCAGCAGCAGCUUACUGUCUAGCCUGUGUCCUUUUCGUUUGUUCACCUGUUUGGUCUUAAUAUUCCUCAGAUUUCUCUAGAAAGGAAAAGUGUUUUGAGAAGUAAGUGGCUAUUUUUGAGGACAAAACUCCAUCAUGAUUCCGUAAACACUGUAGGUUAGCUUUUAGGACAACAUUGCCUCACAGCCUUGCUUACAUUGAGAAGUCUUUUUCUCCUAGCCGUUCUGACUGGAUUUUUCUCCAAAAGCUAUGGAAAAUAUCUUUGUUCUCAUUUGCUGCUAUUUCCUGUCCUAUUUCAAGAAUAUAAAUACAUAGAAAUGGUGCAUCUUAACAUUUGUUUGUAUGUGUUAAAAUGUCUUGUCUUUUAAUUCAGUUUUAGCAUGUAGCAACAUGAAUUGUUUAAGGGUAAGCCACAACAUCUAGACAUCAUUCAUAGAAACAAUAAAGAAUGGUACCAAUGUAGAGGAGCAACCUGGGUUUCCUCCCCUGAAGCAGUGACUCUGACAACGGAGGAGGGAGUGCUCUGUAACAAAGCUGUCCUCACUUGGGAGAUUGCCACAGCCUGCUGCUUAGCUGAGUUACCAGACAUCCUCCACCUAAGCAGCAGCAAACAUUGAAUCUCAGGGAUGGUCCACAGCUGGAUCCAAACAUAACGAGCCCUGUUUGAAUAAUGAAGGGUGGCGGGGCAACAUCCACAUCUGGCAUCGGAUUUGCAAAGGUUUCUUGCACUGUUGUUUGACACUGCCCUGUUGAUGCCCUUACUCUUACGUUACUGUUUUCUCUGUCUGCUGUCUAACCCUGUGCCUUGCCUGGGAUAAGGACAAUGAUAAAGUUACUGGUUUUGGUUGUAAGUAGAGGACUUUAUCAAUUGGUUAGCGGUUCACUGCUGCUUUGUUACUUUCUUGAGUCAGAUUGGCUGCUUAUUAAGAAAUAAAAAGCUGAUAGAAUUGUGU
rnacentral:lncRNA from 1 species